rnacentral:rRNA from 1 species
CACGUGAGGGGCAAGCGUUGUUCGGAAUUACUGGGCGUAAAGGGCGCGUAGGCGGCCCUGCUAAGUCGAACGAUGAAAUCCCCGAGCUCAACUCGGGAACUGCGUCCGAUACAUGGCGGGCUUGAAGUCCGGGAGAGGGAUGCGGAAUUCCAAGGUUGUAGCGGUGGAAAUGACGUAGAUAUCUGGAGGAACACCGGUGGCGAAGGCGGCAUCCUGGACCGGCAUUGACGCUGAGCGCGAAAGCUAGGGGAGCAAACGGG